rnacentral:rRNA from 1 species
GAUGAACGCUGGCGGCGUGCCUAAUACAUGCAAGUCGAGCGAACCACUUCGGUGGUGAGCGGCGAACGGGUGAGUAACACGUAGGUGAUCUGCCCAUCAGACGGGGACAACGAUUGGAAACGAUCGCUAAUACCGGAUAGGACGAAAGUUUAAAGGUGCUUCUGGCACCGCUGAUGGAUGAGCCUGCGGCGCAUUAGCUAGUUGGUAGGGUAAAGGCCUACCAAGGCGACGAUGCGUAGCCGACCUGAGAGGGUGAACGGCCACACUGGGACUGAGACACGGCCCAGACUCCUACGGGAGGCAGCAGUAGGGAAUCUUCGGCAAUGGGCGAAAGCCUGACCGAGCAACGCCGCGUGAAUGAUGAAGGCCUUCGGGUUGUAAAAUUCUGUUAUAAGGGAAGAACGACUUUAGUAGGAAAUGGCUAGAGUGUGACGGUACCUUAUGAGAAAGCCACGGCUAACUACGUGCCAGCAGCCGCCGCAG